CAAUAGCGUAUAUUAAAGUUGUUGCAGUUAAAAAGCUCGUAGUUGGAUUUCUGGUGGGAGCGAUCGGUCUGGCGCUUAGCGCGAGUACUUGCAUCGUCUCCGGCCAUCCUCGGGGAGAGUCUGUCUGGCAUUAGGUUGUCGGGCAGAGGAUCCUCAUCGUUUACUGUGAAAAAAUUAGAGUGUUCAAAGCAGGCUUAUGCCGUUGAAUAUAUUAGCAUGGAAUAAUAAGAUAGGACUUUGGUACUAUUUUGUUGGUUUGCGCACCAAAGUAAUGAUUAAUAGGGACGGUUGGGGGUAUUCGUAUUCCGUUGUCAGAGGUGAAAUUCUUGGAUUUACGGAAGACGAACUACUGCGAAAGCAUUUACCAAGGAUGUUUUCAUUAA
rnacentral:rRNA from 1 species